CCCAUUUAACAGCUGACUACCACUCUGGAAGGAUCUCUUUUGGAGAUUGUUCCUCUUGGAGUCUUCUCAGUAAGCCCAGGAUGAGGAUUAUCAUCUCUCCAGAAGUCAUCAGAAAGAAAAAAGUUUCCAUGACUCGGUUACCCUAUACUGAGCCAAAAAAAUCUUGUGGUACUGAAGAAAGCCUCAUUUCUUUGAGGAGAGAAGAUGGAAAAUUCCCAUGCGAGUAAGGAGAGAGUGGCAAGUUUCAAGCAUUUGUUAACUUCAGUAGUUUUCUUGCAAUUGCAAGAAAAUUGUUGUGUCAGAACUAUACUUGCUCUCUAGGUUUUCCCUGCAGUAUUUCUGUGCUUCAAUUAUAUCCUCUUUUGUGACAUCAAGGAAAGUUUGGAAAAAGAACAACAACCAAAAGAAGUCUACUCCUAAAAUUCUGUGGAAUAUAGAGAUUAAAGCACUUGUUUUCAUCUACAGAAAUGGAAAGUUUCACAGAAUAUGGGUUAAACUGAGUAGCAUGUUGCAUUAGGAAGAAUAUAUUUUAUAGUUUGGAAAACAAGAGUUUAAGAGGAACUUGGAUCACUAAGAGCCUCUUUUGGUUUUCUUUUUGCAAUGCAGUUUCCUACUUGUCCUUUUUGGCAUAAUGUAUCA